UACGGAAGGCAGCAGUGGGGAAUAUUGCACAAUGGGCGCAAGCCUGAUGCAGCCAUGCCGCGUGUAUGAAGAAGGCCUUCGGGUUGUAAAGUACUUUCAGUCGUGAGGAAGGUGUUAAGGUUAAUAACCUUAGCAAUUGACGUUAGCGACAGAAGAAGCACCGGCUAACUCCGUGCCAGCAGCCGCGGUAAUACGGAGGGUGCGAGCGUUAAUCGGAAUUACUGGGCGUAAAGGGCACGCAGGCGGUUAAUUAAGUUGGAUGUGAAAUCCCCGGGCUUAACCUGGGAAUGGCAUUCAAGACUGGUUAGCUAGAGUCUUGUAGAGGGGGUAGAAUUCCAUGUGUAGCGGUGAAAUGCGUAGAGAUGUGGAGGAAUACCGGUGGGCGAAGGCGGCCCCUGGGACAAAGACUGACGCUCAUGUGCGAAAGCGUGGGGAGCGAAACAGGGAUUAGAUACC
rnacentral:rRNA from 1 species